rnacentral:rRNA from 1 species
GGGUCAGUAGGUUGUUCGUGCCACCGGUACGUACUGGUCUCACUGAUUCCUCCUUCCUGAAGAACCGUAAUGCCAUUAAUUUGGUGUUGCGGGGAAUCAGGGCUGUUACUUUGAAAAAAUUAGAGUGUUUAAAGCAAGCUAACGCUUGAAUACAUUAGCAUGGAAUAAUGAAAUAGGACGAUCGAUCCUAUUUUGUUGGUUUCUAGGAUUGACGUA